rnacentral:rRNA from 1 species
AUGUAUAGAGCGUUAAUCCAGUCCGAUGUGCCAGUUGUUAAUAACAAGAAGAUCUGGAAGAUAAAGAUACCUCUUAAGAAUAAAAUCUUUGCAUGGUAUCUUCGUCGCGGAGUCAUUCUUACUAAAGAUAACCUUAUUAAGAGGAAUUGGCAUGGAAGCCCGCAAUGUGUAUUUAGUCACCAUGAGAAGAAAAUAAAACAUUUAUUCUUUCAAUGCAAAUUGGCUCGUUCUUUAUGGUCAGUCAUCCAAAUAGCUUCUGGCUUGUAUCCUCCCUGUAGUGUUGCUAAUGUAUUUGGCAACUGGUUACAUGGGAUUGAUCACAGGUUUAGAACUCUUUUCAGGGUGGGAGCGCUUGCCGUUAUUUGGUCGCUUUGGCUAUGUAAAAAUGAUAAGGUUUUUAAUGAUAAAAGUACUUCUCUGUUGCAGGUUAUCUACAGAUGUACCGGGACUCUUCGUUUAUGGUCCUCUCUACAACGCAUGGAGAAUCGAGGCCUGUUUACGAAGGUGUGUACACGAUUGUUGGAGGCUACGGUGAGGGAUACUUUUACCCAGCAUGGGUGGCAGCAUGAUCUAAGGAUUGGCCCCCUACAUGUUUCGUUGUAA